UCGGCCAGCGAGUUGGGGUCGGGGGAGGAGGGGGGACCUCAAAGAGCCCUUCCCAUCGCCCAGGCUGACUCCUACAGCUCCCCUGCCCUCGGUAGCCUCCGUUCCUCAGGAUUUUCUUGCAAGGACCGACAGCGGGCUGGAUCUCGGCCCUGGCAACGACCUCAUGGCAGCUUUGAAAACCUCAUCCGGCAGAGGAAUCUGGAGCCCAGCGCGCUGCCAGGCAUCUACCCACAUCAGGAUGGCGGGGGCCUCUGAGAUUCCCCAGUUUUCCAGAAGAGCAGAAAGGGGCAGACAGCGGGGACUAGACUACUGCCCCGGGAGCCCUGGCAGCCACCUCACAUCUGAUUCCUCCAAGGUGCCAACCCGGGCGGCGGUUUAUGAGGCUGUAAACCUGUAGAUUUUAAUUAACUUUGUGUGCCGGAAACUCAGCGAGAGGCAGCUGCCUGCCAGAACUGUUGGUAAAUAAAGGCUUCGCUGGAUCCACACACGA